rnacentral:lncRNA from 1 species
GAAUAUCUCUGUGUUACAGUAUCAAAAGGUGUUUCCUCAGGUUAAAUCACCGAUCGCGUCCAGUGUGUCACAGCUGACGUCGACUGACACUCGGUGGAAGCCCCUCUCCUUCCCUCGCGCGUUUUGUUCUCUGGUUCGCUUCAUUCGCGAGGCUUCGUCUUAUUUUCAUCAGCUCGAGCUUCACGCGGGAGCCGUCUGUCUAUAUCAAUAUGCAUUAAUGUAGGCGACAACGUGGAAGAGAUAAGGUGAGAUAACCUUGUUGAUAUCAAAUAGCACUACGUGAAGGUCUGCGUUUGAUUGUGACAUUGGCGGACUUGUUACUACACCACGCGCGUUGUAAACUCGACUUCUGUUGUCUGUAUGUGUAAGUGCAUUGACGGCUGUUGAUAAAUGUCGAUAGAAGAGCUCUUAUCUCAUCACCUGGCACCUUUGUUUUGGAUUUGUCAAGGAUUUCCUAAAUCGAGAGUGGGUAUACACGACGGGUUUUAAUCCAAAUCGGGAUCUAUACAUCCAAACUGGGAUCUAUGAGCGGAAAAGUGGCUAAGCCUAAAGAAGAAAAGGAUGCUUCAAAGGAAUGACGUGUUGGUGGAUCUCUGUUUGGAGUUUAAUGACUGGCGACCUUCUUUAAAGAAAAGACCACACCACAGGACACCGCCUGACACCACUGGAGCUCCUCAUUAACUUACAACCAGCUCAACACACACACACACACACACACACGUGCGCUUAUAUCCACAAUAUAUUCCAUAUAUUUAACAAAUCCACAUACACUUACCUGUACCAUCAAUAUAAACAUUUCAUAUAUUUAAGAAGCUAUUCUAUAUUAAACUUUAGUAGUAUUACCU